rnacentral:rRNA from 1 species
GACGAACGCUGGCGGCGUGCUUAACACAUGCAAGUCGAACGAUGAAGCCUAGCUUGCUAGGUGGAUUAGUGGCGAACGGGUGAGUAAUACGUGAGUAACCUACCUUUAACUCUGGGAUAAGCCUGGGAAACUGGGUCUAAUACCGGAUACGACCAAUCUCCGCAUGGGGUGUUGGUGGAAAGCGUUAUGUAGUGGUUAUAGAUGGGCUCACGGCCUAUCAGCUUGUUGGUGAGGUAACGGCUCACCAAGGCGACGACGGGUAGCCGGCCUGAGAGGGUGACCGGCCACACUGGGACUGAGACACGGCCCAGACUCCUACGGGAGGCAGUAGUGGGGAAUAUUGCACAAUGGGCGCAAGCCUGAUGCAGCGACGCCGCGUGAGGGAUGACGGCCUUCGGGUUGUAAACCUCUGUUAGCAGGGAAGAAGAGAGAUUGACGGUACCUGCAGAGAAAGCGCCGGCUAACUACGUGCCAGCAGCCGCGGUAAUACGUAAGGCGCGAGCGUUGUCCGGAAUUAUUGGGCGUAAAGAGCUUGUAGGCGGUUUGUCGCGUCUGCUGUGAAGGCCGGGGCUUAACCCCGUGUAUUGCAGUGGGUACGGGCAGACUAGAGUGCAGUAGGGGAGACUGGAAUUCCUGGUGUAGCGGUGGAAUGCGCAGAUAUCAGGAGGAACACCGAUGGCGAAGGCAGGUCUCUGGGCUGUAACUGACGCUGAGAAGCGAAAGCAUGGGGAGCGAACAGGAUUAGAUACCCUGGUAGUCCAUGCCGUAAACGUUGGGCACUAGGUGUGGGGGACAUUCCACGUUUUCCGCGCCGUAGCUAACGCAUUAAGUGCCCCGCCUGGGGAGUACGGCCGCAAGGCUAAAACUCAAAGAAAUUGACGGGGGCCCGCACAAGCGGCGGAGCAUGCGGAUUAAUUCGAUGCAACGCGAAGAACCUUACCAAGGCUUGACAUAUACUGGACCGCAUCAGAGAUGGUGUUUCCCUUCGGGGCUGGUAUACAGGUGGUGCAUGGUUGUCGUCAGCUCGUGUCGUGAGAUGUUGGGUUAAGUCCCGCAACGAGCGCAACCCUCGUUCUAUGUUGCCAGCACGUUAUGGUGGGGACUCAUAGGAGACUGCCGGGGUCAACUCGGAGGAAGGUGGGGAUGACGUCAAAUCAUCAUGCCCCUUAUGUCCAGGGCUUCACACAUGCUACAAUGGUCGGUACAACGCGUGGCGAUACUGUGAGGUGGAGCUAAUCGCUUGAAAGCCGGUCGUAGUUCGGAUUGGGGUCUGCAACUCGACCCCAUGAAGUCGGAGUCGCUAGUAAUCGCAGAUCAGCAAUGCUGCGGUGAAUACGUUCCCGGGCCU